rnacentral:sRNA from 1 species
GUAUUUGUCCACUUAUAAACCAAGUAAAGGCCUCAGGAAAAACUUAUCUGGCUUAAAGUUUAAGUUUCAAGAUCUUCCAACUAAAAAAGACUGGAGAGAUUCUGGUGUCGUCAAUCCUGUUAUGGAUCAAGGUUCUUGUGGAGCUUGUUGGGCUUUCAGUGUUGUGGAGACUGUGGAAAGUAUGUAUGGAAUUCAGAAAAAUGCCUCUGCUCCAAGCCUGAGUGUCCAAGAGCUGAUUGACUGCGAUAAGAACAACAGUGGCUGUGAAGGAGGAAGCAUCAAAGGAGCAUGUGAUUGGUCU